GUGAACGCUGGCGGUAGGCCUAACACAUGCCAGUCGAACGGCAGCACAGUAAGAGCUUGCUCUUACGGGUGGCGAGUGGCGGACGGGUGAGGAAUACAUCGGAAUCUACUUUUUCGUGGGGGAUAACGUAGGGAAACUUACGCUAAUACCGCAUACGACCUACGGGUGAAAGCAGGGGAUCUUCGGACCUUGCGCGAUUGAAUGAGCCGAUGUCGGAUUAGCUAGUUGGCGGGGUAAAGGCCCACCAAGGCGACGAUCCGUAGCUGGUCUGAGAGGAUGAUCAGCCACACUGGAACUGAGACACGGUCCAGACUCCUACGGGAGGCAGCAGUGGGGAAUAUUGGACAAUGGGCGCAAGCCUGAUCCAGCCAUACCGCGUGGGUGAAGAAGGCCUUCGGGUUGUAAAGCCCUUUUGUUGGGAAAGAAAAGCAGCAGGUUAAUACCCCGCUGUUCUGACGGUACCCAAAGAAUAAGCACCGGCUAACUUUGUG
rnacentral:rRNA from 1 species